GACGAACGCUGGCGGCGUGCCUAAUACAUGCAAGUUGAGCGCUGAAGGUUGGUACUUGUACCAACUGGAUGAGCAGCGAACGGGUGAGUAACGCGUGGGGAAUCUGCCUUUGAGCGGGGGACAACAUUUGGAAACGAAUGCUAAUACCGCAUAAAAACUUUAAACACAAGUUUUAAGUUUGAAAGAUGCAAUUGCAUCACUCAAAGAUGAUCCCGCGUUGUAUUAGCUAGUUGGUGAGGUAAAGGCUCACCAAGGUGAUGAUACAUAGCCGACCUGAGAGGGUGAUGGGCCACGUUGGGACUGAGACACGGCCCAAACUCCUACGGGAGGCAGCAGUAGGGAAUCUUCGGCAAUGGACGAAAGUCUGACCGAGCAACGCCGCGUGAGUGAAGAAGGUUUUCGGAUCGUAAAACUCUGUUGGUAGAGAAGAACGUUGGUGAGAGUGGAAAGCUCAUCAAGUGACGGUAACUACCCAGAAAGGGACGGCUAACUACGUG
rnacentral:rRNA from 1 species